rnacentral:piRNA from 1 species
UCUUCGCUCCGACAGUGACUGGUGAUGC